UACGUAGGGGGCAAGCGUUGUCCGGAUUUAUUGGGCGUAAAGAGCGUGUAGGCGGCCUGAAAUGUCAGCUGUGAAAACUCGAGGCUCAACCUCGAGACGUCGGUUGAAACCAUCUGGCUAGAGUCCGGAAGAGGAGUGUGGAAUUCCCGGUGUAGCGGUGAAAUGCGCAGAUAUCGGGAAGAACACCCGUGGCGAAGGCGGCACUCUGGGACGGUACUGACGCUGAGACGCGAAAGCGUGGGGAGCGAACAGG
rnacentral:rRNA from 1 species